rnacentral:tRNA from 1 species
CAGGGAGACAACAAAAUGUUUAAUAUUAUUAUUUUGUCACCUUAGGUCGAUCGGUAUCUCACGUUUUUAAUUUAUUAAGAAUUUCAUUUCCUAAGUUUUUCUAGGUCACACCCAUUAUUUUUCCUGGGCCAUUAGCUCAGGUGGUUAGAGCGCACCCCUGAUAAGGGUGAGGUCCCUGGUUCAAGUCCAGGAUGGCCCAUAUCUCUAUGUUGGGGGUAUAGCUCAGUUGGUAGAGCGCCUGCUUUGCAAGCAGGAUGUCAGCGGUUCGAGUCCGCUUACCUCCACUGAUUACCACCUCUUCCAUAACCGGUAGAAAGGAAAUGUUUUGAGUUGUGAUCAAAUUCUGAAAGAAUCUAGCUUCCUAAUGAAAUCAUUAAGAUGCUGGACUCAUUGAAUUAAUUUCAUUGUUUUCAGAGAACCUUGACAACUGCAUAGAUUAUUUUUAAAGACAAUAAGCAUCUUUAAUGAUGCAGAUUUAUUAUUUGUGCGAAUGCAUUAAAUAACAAUUCUAUUAAGCUGAUGCUUCAA